UAUACUGCAGUCGAACGCACAGCGAAAGGUGCUUGCACCUUUCAAGUGAGUGGCGAACGGGUGAGUAACACGUGGACAACCUGCCUCAAGGCUGGGGAUAACAUUUGGAAACAGAUGCUAAUACCGAAUAAAACUUAGUGUCGCAUGACACAAAGUUAAAAGGCGCUUCGGCGUCACCUAGAGAUGGAUCCGCGGUGCAUUAGUUAGUUGGUGGGGUAAAGGCCUACCAAGACAAUGAUGCAUAGCCGAGUUGAGAGACUGAUCGGCCACAUUGGGACUGAGACACGGCCCAAACUCCUACGGGAGGCUGCAGUAGGGAAUCUUCCACAAUGGGCGAAAGCCUGAUGGAGCAACGCCGCGUGUGUGAUGAAGGCUUUCGGGUCGUAAAGCACUGUUGUAUGGGAAGAACAGCUAGAAUAGGAAAUGAUUUUAGUUUGACGGUACCAUACCAGAAAGGGACGGCUAAAUACGUGCCAGCAGCCGCGGUAAUACGUAUGUCCCGAGCGUUAUCCGGAUUUAUUGGGCGUAAAGCGAGCGCAGACGGUUUAUUAAGUCUGAUGUGAAAGCCCGGAGCUCAACUCCGGAAUGGCAUUGGAAACUGGUUAACUUGAGUGCAGUAGAGGUAAGUGGAACUCCAUGUGUAGCGGUGGAAUGCGUAGAUAUAUGGAAGAACACCAGUGGCGAAGGCGGCUUACUGGACUGCAACUGACGUUGAGGCUCGAAAGUGUGGGUAGCAAACAGGAUUAGAUACCCUGGUAGUCCACACCGUAAACGAUGAACACUAGGUGUUAGGAGGUUUCCGCCUCUUAGUGCCGAAGCUAACGCAUUAAGUGUUCCGCCUGGGGAGUACGACCGCAAGGUUGAAACUCAAAGGAAUUGACGGGGACCCGCACAAGCGGUGGAGCAUGUGGUUUAAUUCGAAGCAACGCGAAGAACCUUACCAGU
rnacentral:rRNA from 1 species